AUGGCCGAGGUCGCCGAUGCGCCCCGCCGCGCGGCGCCUGGGGCCUCCUCCUCCCCACCCCCUCCCCCCUCCUCCGCCGGCGGCAGCGGCGACCGCAAGCGUGGCCGCUCCUCGCCCGUGCUCCCGCCGCCUCCCCCCGGCCCCCCUCCGCCGGCGGCGCAAAACAAGCGGCACCGGACAGAAGGAGGUGGGUUCGACCGGCGCCGUCUUGGUGGCGGGCAGGACGACAGGAGGUUUGGGAAUGAUCAUGGUGGCCAAGGUCGACACAACAAUCGUGCACCAGAUUGGCAUGAUUCUGGACGUGGUGGAUGGAAUGAAGGAUCAGGGAACUCCCGUAGGGAAGGUCUGAUGUCUUACAAGCAGUUCAUGCAGGAGCUUGAAGAUGACGUUUCGCCUGUUGAAGCUCAAAGCAGAUAUGAGGAGUACAAGUCAGAGUACAUCACAACUCAGAAGAAAGCUUACUUUGACCUUCAUAAGAAUGACGAUUGGUUGAGAAACAAGUACCAUCCUACUAACCUUGAAUCUGUUAUGGAAAGACGGAACGAACUUGCGAGAGCUACUGCAAAUGAAUUCUUCCAAGAUUUGCAGAGCGGAAAUUUUGACACCGGUCCAGGAUUAACGAGUUCGGCAGCGAACAAAUCUGGAAAUAAUGAUGUGAAUGUAAAUGGAAAAAAGGGGAAACUUGGAAAGGACCCUGAUGAUUUAUAUUAUUCUGCUCCCAAGGCUCAUCCAGUCAGUUCUGAGCCUCGGCGAAUUAGCAUUGACAUUGAACAAGCUCAAGCUCUCAUCUGUAAACUUGAUUCUGAGAAGGGUAUUGAGAAUAAUGUUCUAUCUAGUAGUGAUGAUGACAAAGCAGGCAGCGGAUCACAUGGUUCAAUGGGCCCAAUUGUAAUAAUACGGGGUGCAUCUACUGUGAAGGGUCUUGAAGGUGUUGAGUUGCUGGACACUCUUGUCACUUAUUUGUGGCGUAUCCAUGGUGUGGAUUAUUAUGGCAUGUCUGAGACAAAUGAGCCAAAAGGUCUAAGGCAUGUGAAAGCAGACUCAAGGACAUAUGAUGGGCCUAGCUCAAAUACAGCUGAAUGGGAGGAGAAACUUGAUUCAUUCUGGCAAGACAGGAUUCAAGGUCAGGAUCCAUUAGAAAUAUUGAAAGCAAAGGACAAGAUUGAUGCAGCUGCUAGUGAAGUGUUGGAUCCACAUGUCAGGAAAAUAAGGGAUGAGAAGUAUGGAUGGAAAUAUGGCUGUGGAGCUAAGGGGUGCACAAAGCUUUUCCAUGCUUCUGAGUUCGUCACGAAGCAUCUCAAACUCAAGCAUACUGAUUUUGUGGUGGAGCUGACUUCAAAAGUGAGAGAGGAUAUUUAUUUUGAGAACUACAUGAAUGAUCCCAAGGCGCCUGGGGGAACACCGAUCAUGCAACAAUCUGCUCCAAGGGAAAAGGGCAGACAGCGGCCACCGAUUGAGAGUCGGCUGAGAGAUGAACGUGGCCGUAGAUUUGACAGAAAUAUUGAUUCAUCAAACCCUGAUGGAUCCAGUGAAAACCCUGAUGAUCCAAUGUAUGAUUCUUAUGGUGAUCCGGCUGUACAUGGUGCCUUUCCUCCAGAUGUUCCAGCUCCUCCAAUGCUGAUGCCUGUGCCUGGUGCUGGCCCACUUGGGCCGUUUAUUCCUGCACCACCGGAAGUUGCAAUGCGUAUGUUGAGGGAGCAGGGUGGGCCACCACCUUUCGAGCCGAAUGCUGGUCCACGUCCUAGGAAAGCAGGAAGGGCUGGUGGUCCCCCAAUGGGUGGUCCAUCACCAAUCCUUAAUGCUCCACUUCCUAUAAUGCAUGAUCCACGUAUGCAAGAUCCACGCAUGCAAGAUCCCCGUAAAAUACGAAGCUAUCAAGAUCUGGACGCUCCUGGAGAUGAAGUGACAGUUUUGGACUACCGGAGCCUGUAG
rnacentral:rRNA from 1 species